rnacentral:rRNA from 1 species
AACGGKUGAGUAACACGUGARCCACCUGCCCUGGACUCUGGGAUAAACGCUGGAAACGGCGUCUAAUACUGGAUAUGAGCUCCUUCCGCAUGGUGGGGGUUGGAAAGAUUUUUCGGUCUGGGAUGGGCUCGCGGCCUAUCAGCUUGUUGGUGAGGUAAUGGCUCACCAAGGCGUCGACGGGUAGCCGGCCUGAGAGGGUGACCGGCCRCACUGGGACUGAGACACGGCCCAGACUCCUACGGGAGGCAGCAGUGGGGAAUAUUGCACAAUGGGCGGAAGCCUGAUGCAGCAACGCCGCGUGAGGGAUGACGGCCUUCGGGUUGUAAACCUCUUUUAGCAGGGAAGAAGCGAAAGUGACGGUMCCUGCAGAAAAAGCGCCGGCUAACUACGUGCCARCAGCCGCGGUAAUACGUAGGGCGCAAGCGUUAUCCGGAAUUAUUGGGCGUAAAGAGCUCGUAGGCGGUUUGUCGCGUCUGCUGUGAAAUCCCGAGGCUCAACCUCGGGCCUGCAGUGGGUACGGGCAGACUAGAGUGCGGUAGGGGAGAUUGSAAUUCCUGGUGUAG